UCGUACGCGCAGUGGUAUGGUCCUUACUUGUGGACCAGGAGACCGUAUUUGCUGCAGAUGUGUGUGCACCGGCUUUAUUUUUAAAAAGUAGCAGAAUUUACAACUUUGGCUGUAGUUCAGCCGAAUUUUAUUCUUUCUUCACUGUAGGUAUGUAACCAACCUGUUUGGAAAACUUCAGAAGCAAGUGGCAGUUGAACCCAGUCCUUCAGAGGUGGAUGGAUGACCAGGAGAUUCUCCCACUCUUAGUGUUUGGAAGGAUUUACAGGCUGAUAACAACUUGUUUGUGGACACGUUACAAAUACACCUUCCACACCUAGCGUGCUGGCAUGGGACUCGAACCUACAGCUUCUGGCCCAGAGGAUGAGGGCGUCACUGGUGAGGCAACAUUUAUCGCCCAUCCGUAAUUGUCCAGAGGGCAGUUAAGAGUCACCCACAUUGCUGUGGGUCUGGAGUCACAUGUAGACCAGACCAGAAUUAUCUGGAUACUUAAAACCUCAGCAAGAAUGUGGGCAGGAAAUCUAUAAUAAAAUCUCUGCCUAGGACCACGUGAAAGCAGAUCUGUCACCAUGUAGAACUGCCUGGCUUGCGAAAUGGCUCAGAGUGGGCGCUCAGUGACGGAGGAAUCACAUUCUACUGAAUUCUUCAUCCAAACAUGGACAAAAGAGCUGAAUCGCGGAAGAGAAGUAAGAGUGACUGCUGUUGCCAUGAAGGAUCGAGUAUGGCUUUCAAGGAGUCCCAGCAAAAUUGAAGCCAAUGGAAUUGGGAGAAAUCUCCCCAGUGAUUGAAAUCAUGCAGAGCAGAAAGGAAGAUACUUGUGACUGUCAGAAGCCAAUCAUCUGAGUUCAUUCAUAUAGCCAUGGGAGUUUCUCAGAACCAACCUGGAUCCAAACUUAUAAUUAUAGAACUCCUAAAGGACCCUCUGAAGGACAUCCCACCUAGACCCACCCCCUACGCUGUCCCUGUAACUCGCAUUUCCUAUGGCUAAUCCACCUAGCCUGCGCGUGUGUGGACUGUGGCAAGAAACCAGAGAAAACCCACCGGACAUGGGGAGAAUAUGCAAACUCCACACAGAUAGUUGCCCGAGGGUGUAAUCGAACCCAGUUCCCUAGCCCUGUGAGGCAGCAGUGCUACCCACCAAGCCACCAUGCUGCCUUACUUUGGAAAUAUUUCAGUGUUGGAAUUCUAAAAGUACUGGAUUUUAUUCAGAACACAUGAAGUACAGGUUCCAGGGCUGGAUCCAGUUCCUCUCCCACAUUCUCCAUCAGACACGGUUUCCCAAAGCGGAUGGCAUUCUCCAGACUUCGCAGGAAAUCACGCAUCACCCAAUGUUGAAAUCAGGUUGGAUUCCUUUGUGUGCGGAAGACCAAGUGUAACAAAUUCUGCCAGCCAUUCUUCAUUCAUUGCUGCACGAUAUUCUCCCUAAAAGUUAAGUUGGGACAUCCAAAAAACUAAAUAGCAAUAUUGUAAUAACAGGGUCAACCCAAAUGGGCUGGGAUAACUAAUUUACAUUGGGAGUUCUUAAACUAUGUAACUGCACUUCUUCGGUAACUCUUAAAACUUGAUGGGUAGUUUAUCAAGAUAAUAAAGUGUGAAGCUGGAUGAACACAGCAGGCCAAGCAGCGCCAAACCUAUUAGAAUCAAAUAAAAUGAGUUUGUGUGCUCAAAAAUGGAGAGUAAAAGCCAUUUUAAUCUUGAAUCCCAAUGAGCAUCUGCUUAUAUCGUGUACCCAUUGUUAAGGCAACUUUUUUAAACAAUGUAUUGUGAAAUUGAAAAUUAAUGCUGUUUAGAUUACACACAAGGUGAAUAUGAGAAGAGCUCCUAUGAUGUCCCAAUGGUUCAAGAUAUCACAAUGAUUGAGCAGUGCUCUGUGCAGUAUUCUGGGUUAGGGUGACCCUAUGUAACAGACAAGCUUUAUUUGAAGUGAUGUGAAUGGUUUUGUACUACUCACCGUGAAAGGACCCAGGUAAGCCACAUACCCUCCUGCGAUUAGCACAUCCCCCACUACAUUAUUGAUCAUGUGGUUGAGGUUCUGGAUAGUUUCUUGCCAGCGGAUUUUCUCAUCAGACAGUCCAUUUAGUAGCUGUGGAAAACGAAUUGGAGGGAAAAGGGUAACUUCAAAAAAAACAUGCUAUACUCCAGAAUAGCAAACUGUCCUCUUGAAUAACAAACUAUGAAAUUUUAAAUAACUGGCAAUAUUUAUUUUUAUUUUUUAUUCAAUUAACUUUUAGCAACUGGAGAAAAUGAUUAAAUAAAUCUGAACAUUGAUUUUUUUUCUGUACUUUUCUUUCAAUUGCUAAGAUUCAUUAGGUUAGAAAUGAUUAUUAGUGAUAUUGUUGAAUGAGUCACUGCUUCACACCUUGAUAAGACACUCCUAUGCCCUGACAAUUGUUUAAAUUAAGCAUUCACCUACCAAUAUUAUUGGUAGUCAUUUUUAGCCUUGUGCAUUGAUUAAUUGUGAAGAAUUAUUUAAAAAGUUAAUAUAUUAGCUCAGAAGCAAGGAGGGAAUGAGGGUGAGAGAGAUCUGGUUUGAAGUUGAAAAAUCUGGAAGAAUGGGUUGCCCACGUGUCCUCCCAAAUUUAAAAGUCGAAUACGGCUAUCAGAGGUUGGUUGGCUGUUGAGCAGAUAAAUCUUUACUGCUUGGCUGCAGCCAGGCUGCUCACAAGACAGACAGAGGCUUCUGAGGUCUUCUUGAUUUGUUUGUUUUUCUUAUUUCUUUUACUGUGAAUGAUAACUACUCAGGAACUUGCAACUCAUACCUUACCUAAGUGUAUUUCCUUUUCUUGUUACAUUAUCACUUCCUUUGGUUUUUGACAAUUUAGUCAUUUAAUCAGUCCCACCCUUUAUGCUAUCAGAGUCCUUAUUCUUCUUCCCACCUUUCUGCCUUUCACUCACUUAAAAUCUAAUAGAUUUCUAACUUUCUCAGCUGAGAUAUAAGUUACAAACUGAACUUUUUUUCUGGAUUUUCUGUAGACGUCAGGACUCGACUGUCAGACCUGCACGGGGUCAGAAGGCUUGCUAUGUGAUGCACAGUCACUCACCCUGAUUUUCCUUAAAUUGAUUAAUUAGUGACUAUAGGGCUGCCAACAGAAGGCAUUCCAGAACUGAAGAAGCAGGAGCCAAUCUUCCAGGUUAAGUAAGGGUCCUCACCCUUAAUUAAUCUGAAAGACUGGCUCCUGCUAGAACUGGCUAACAGAAAAUAGAGAAUCGGAUUAAUGGAUCAAGUGUAUUGUAGCCAGACUUGCUGAUGAUGUGAAAUUUGGUAGAAAAGCAGGCUGAGUGGAGGAUACAAAAAAAAUGCAUGAAGGAUACAGAUAAGGCAAUCAAGUGAGCAAAAAUUUGGAGUAUUAUGGGAGAAAAAAGAAGUUUGUUGGGCAAAAUAGGAGUGCUGAAUAUUAUUUAAACAUGUAGCAUGCUAUGGUACAGAGGGACCUGGGUGUUCUCACAUGUGAUUGACAAAAGUCAACACAGCAAGGAAUAAGGAAGGCAACAAAUGUUGGCCUUUCAUACAAGGGAAGUGGAGUAUAAAAGUAGGGAAGUCUUUAUAUAACUGCUGAAGAUGAGAUCGCAUUUAAAUUCUUGUCUACUGUUUUGGCCUCUUUAUUUUAGGAGCGAUAUUUUUGCAUUAGAGGCAGUUCAGAGAAAGUUCACUACGGUGAUUCUUGGAAUUAAUUUGUUAUCUUACAAGGGAAGAAUUAGUAGAUGGGCCUAUACUCAUUGAAUUGUGAGAGGUGAUCUUGCUGGAAUAUGUGUGGAAAGCUUGGGAAAAUUCUUGCUGAGCAUUAUGCCUCUUGGCAUGCUGGUGAGAGAACUGUACUUCCUUUUGACCAGAAGGGCUUUUAAUAAAAUGCCAAUCAGGCAGUGCCUAGGCAGAACUCUUGGCUACUGACAGCUGCCAACCAACUGGGGUUAACACCACUUAUAUGUGGCAGUACCACAGUACAUAAUGAAUAAUGACCUGAGUGGGCAGAGUCAACAUAUAUAAAUGAAAGGGAAAUCAUGCUUGACAAACAUGCUGAGUUUUUUUUGAGGAAACACUAGGAGAAUGGAUAAGCUGGAACCAGUGGAUGUGGUAUAUUUGGAUUUUCAAAUAGAUUCUGAUAUUGUCCCAUACAGGAGCUGAAUAACCAAAAUUAGAGCAUGUGGACUAGUGGGUGAUAGGUUGAUAUGAUUGAGGUUUUGUUAAGAGAAAGAAAAUGGAGUUGAAAUUUAUAUAAAUGAGUCAUACUCAGGGCAUGGCAGGGUACUACAAGGAUCAAUGCUUGAACACCAACUAUUCACAAUCAUUUGGUGUGUUGUGUGUGUGUGUGUGUGUGUGUGUGUUUUUGUGUGUGUGAAGGCAAGAAUGUGGCAGACGGAGUAAGUAUGAGGUUUCAACUUUGCAAGUAGGAACGGAGGUGUAGAGUUUAUCUUAAAUGAUGAGAGAUUGAGAAGUGUUAAUGCUUAAAAGGAAUUUGGGAUCCUUGUUCAGAAGUCACUGAAAACUAACAUACAGGUGCAGCAAGCAAAUAGGAAGGUCAAGUGAAAUCAGGGAUUUAAGUAUAAGACUAAACUAGUCAUGCUACUUUUUUGUGGAACCUUGGUGAGACCACAACUAUGUAUUGUGAGCAGUUUUGGUUCAAAUACCUGAGGGAUGAUAUACUGACCAUAGGGGUAGUGCAGAGAAGGUUCAGCAGACUGAGUUGGUGGUACUGUCUAUGACAAGAGAUUCAGGAGGUUGGGCUGGUAUUCUCAGAAUAAAGGGCAAACCAUUUGGGACUUGGAUGAGGAGGAAUGUCUUUAUUCAGACAGAAAUGGAAUUUUCAGAUUUUCUACCCCAGCGAUGGUGGAAACUGGGUCAAUGAGUAUGUUCAGAGAUCAGUCGAUUUCUAGAUAAUAAUGAUAUCAAAAGGUAGGAGCUAGGCUGGGAAGUGGCACUGAGACAGAUGAUCAGCUAUGAUCUAGAAAGACAGAGCAGAUUUGAGAGCUAGAGAGGCUGAAUGGCUUACUCCUCCUAUGCUUCAAAGGUUAUUGCAGCUUCAGAAAAGCAAAGUUCAGGGAUUGGUCAGCAACUCAACAUAGGUGAGUAAUUUGGGAGUAUGGUAGGGGGUUGUGAGACACUGAUUUGAAAGAAAUAAAGAUGAAAGGGGUCAAUAGCAGGGAAUGACGUAUGGCUACACCCCUUCUGGAUCCUUUCAACAGCCAAUGAGUGUCUUUACUUGAAGGCUUUAGAAGUGACAAGCUUUCUGCAUGGUUUUAUUUAGCGGGCAUGCCGUAUAGGGUGACUUGCCCAUUGCAAAUGAGUUAAUACCAGCAACGGUGGGAUGAAAUCCUUUGUGGUCGCUAAUUGGCCGCUUAAGGGCACCAAUUGCUUGUCUGGUGGGAAAGUCACCUAUUGGCCUUCCCGCUCAGAACUAACUUCCAAAAGAGGUCGGUGCCGAGUAUGGUUCAGGGACAGCAUCAAAACACCUAAUUAAAUGCCCUUCCUGUUUCCAAUCCAAAUGCCAGCAACAGCCAAAGAUUCCACCCAUUUUCAUUCUAUUCUCCUCUUCACAGAUGCUGCCAGACCUUCAGAUUAUUUCUAGCAUUUCCUGUAUUUAUUCCAGAUUUUCAGCAUCUGCAGUAUAUGUUUUUAUAAAAGUAGGGAAGUCUUGCUUCAACUUUACACGUCUGGAAGACUGUGGUUAGUUUUAGCCUCUUUAUUUAAUCAGGGCUAUAUCUGCAUUGGAGGCAGUUCAGGGAGAUUGACUAGAUAGAUUUAUGGGAUGAAGGGUUAUCUUCUGUGGAAAAGAUGAGUUUAGAAGAAUGAGUGGUGAUCUUACUAAAACAUACAAGAUUCUGAGGAGGCUUGAAAGGGCAGAUCCUGAGAUGAAGUUUGCACUCAUGGAGGAAUCCAGAACUGUGCCAACUGUUUAAAAAUGAGCCAUCUCCCAUGCGAGAUGGAGAUAAGAAGAAAUUUCUUAGCUUAGUGGAUCAAUAGUCUUUGGAUUUCUCUUUUCUAAAAACUGGUUUAGGCUGUGUCAUUGAAUAUAUUCAAGUUGACUUAGAAUUUUGAUAUAUAGAGCUGUCAAGGGUUAUGGGAGGAAGGCAGCAAAAGUGCAGUUAAGACCAUUAACAGAAUCCACUGCAAUAAUAGUGAUUGAGGGGUCAAAUAACCUUCUGUUGCUCCUAGUUCUUCUGGUCCUAUUUAGUUCUGGUAAAAAAUAAAAGGAGAGUCAUUUUGGCUAACAGUAAUUUUAUAAUAAUUCAAGCAGAAAAAAUAGUCCAAGAAUUUCCUUGAAUUCUGUAGAGAACAACAAUACCAUGAGAUAGAGGCUUUGAAAGAUGUUUAUAGAGAUGGAUGUAGGUGGCCUUUAUAAUUGUGAGACAGAAGAUGGAAGUUGAUCUGAGGAUGAUAUGGAACAUUGACUUUGAGUGUGAUCAGGGUCCACUUGAUACAGUGGCUGAGAAGAGAAAUAAAAUUGAAAGUUUGUCCAGGGAGUCAUAGGCAACAGCUUUGAUCUUUGAAACAUUUAACAAUGUUGGGAAGUGGUCUGAUACCAGUAAGAGGAGAUGUUGGAAGAGGUGAUGAGGAAGAACUGGAUGUCAGGAAUGUACAUAAGGAACCUUUUGCCAUGUCUUUGGAUAAUGUCACCCUGCAGAUACGUCUUGAAGACUCCAAAAGAAAUAACACAGGUCUGGGAAGGCAGACAAUGCCUAGUGAUGCUUUGCAAUGGUUGGAUAUGAUGAGUUUUACUGCUCAGUAAUUAAUACCACAGAUACAAUCCAGUCUCCACAAAACAAAUGUUGUAAGAUGGCUGCAAAGAGACCUUAACUGGUCAGGAAACAGCUUAAAAGGAUCCAUGGGCAGCAUGGAAGAUCAAUGCCAAGUAAAGUCUAUAGUAAGAGUAGUUUCUGGUGAAUGUUUUCUCUUACCAUUCUUGCAAUAGGUCAUUAUCAUUAUUUAUCACUUACUGCUUGGUGUUGAAGAAUUAGAAUGUUGCCGUUAGUUAAGUUUACAUUCUCAAGAAUUUGAAGAACCAUUUAAGCACUUGGUUUACUAACAGCAGGUACAAAAUAGAAAUGUGGUGCUUAUUACCUUAUCAGCUCUGAUCAAUCUCUGCUCACACUGUUCACAUUUAUUUUCUAAUUCUUCUUUCUUUGUUAUACAGUCUAAGUAUUUUGCUUCAAGAGCAGCUAUUCCAAGUUCCACAUCCUCCAGACGGCUCUUUGCUUCCUCUAGAAUCUUCUGAGUUAUAUCCAGAUCUUCCUGAGCUUCACGGAGAGCUUGCUGUGUAAAAAGAAAUAAAUUAAUUAUUUGUUAAUCUAUUACCAGUAAAUACUGUGCUUUAGAAUUGCACAAAUAUUUCAUUAAAAUAUACAGCUCAUGUAUUGUUGAAAUAUUGCAGUGUAUCUGGACUAAAUCCUACAUAUGCUACAUGGAUAAUAAUAAUAAAAAUAAA